rnacentral:rRNA from 1 species
GUCGAGCGCGAGAGUAGCAAUAUUCUUGAGCGGCGAACGGGUGCGUAACACGUGUGCAACCUACCUUAAAGUUCAGAAUAGCCUGCCGAAAGGCGGAUUAAUGCGGAAUGUGGCGGCUCACAGCAUUGUGUGCUUGCUAAAGCCGGGGUCGCAAGACCUGGCGCUUUAAGAGGGGCUCGCGGCCUAUCAGCUUGUUGGCGGGGUAACGGCCCACCAAGGCUAAGACGGGUAGCUGUUCUGAGAGGAAGAUCAGCCACACUGGGACUGAGAUACGGCCCAGACACCUACGGGUGGCAGCAGUUUCGAAUCAUUUACAAUGGGGGAAACCCUGAUAGUGCGACGCCGCGUGGGGGAUGAGGGUCCUUGGAUUGUAAACCCCUGUCACCGGAGAACAAACGCGUAUGGCUAAUAUCCAUACGCCUGAGCUUAUCCGGAGAGGAAGCCGUGGCCAACUCUGUGCCAGCAGCCGCGGUAAUACAGAGACGGCGAGCGUUACUCGGAUUUACUGUGCGUAAAGGGUGCGUAGGUGGCCAAGUGUGUCGGGUGUGAAAUCUCGGAGCUCAACUCCGAAACUGCGCCCGAAACUACUUGGCUUGAGUUUCAGAGAGGGUAGUGGAAUUCCUGGUGUAGCGGUGAAAUGCGUAGAUAUCAGGAGGAAUACCAACGGCGAAGGCAGCUACCUGGAUGAAUACUGACACUGAGGCACGAAAGCGUGGGUAGCAAAAGGGAUUAGAUACCCCUGUAGUCCACGCCCUAAACGGUGCACACUCGGUCUUAGCGGAUUUGACCCCGCUAGGCCCUGAGCUAACGCGUUAAGUGUGCC